GACGAAUGCUGGCGGCGUGCUUAACACAUGCAAGUCGAACGGUGAACAGGAGCUUGCUCCUGGGAUCAGUGGCGAACGGGUGAGUAACACGUGGGCAACCUGCCCCUCACUCUGGGAUAACUCCGGGAAACCGGGGCUAAUACCGGAUACGACCUGGAGCGACAUCUCUCCAGGUGGAAAGAACUUCGGUGAGGGAUGGGCCCGCGGCCUAUCAGCUAGUUGGUGGGGUAACGGCCUACCAAGGCGACGACGGGGAGCCGGCCUGAGGGGGCGACCGGCCACACGGGGACUGAGACACGGCCCAGCCUCCUACGGGAGGCAGCAGUGGGGAAUAUUGCGCAAGGGGCGAAAGCCUGACGCAGCGACGCCGCGUGAGGGACGACGGCCUUCGGGUUGUAAACCUCUUUCAGCAGGGACGAAGCGAAAGUGACGGUACCUGCAGAAGAAGCACCGGCUAACUACGUGCCAGCCGCCGCCGUAACAC
rnacentral:rRNA from 1 species